GCUUGGGGGGUGCUAUACAUGCAGUCGAGCGGACAGAUGGGAGCUUGCUCCCUGAUGUUAGCGGCGGACGGGUGAGUAACACGUGGGUAACCUGCCUGUAAGACUGGGAUAACUCCGGGAAACCGGGGCUAAUACCGGAUGCUUGUUUGAACCGCAUGGUUCAAACAUAAAAGGUGGCUUCGGCUACCACUUACAGAUGGACCCGCGGCGCAUUAGCUAGUUGGUGAGGUAACGGCUCACCAAGGCAACGAUGCGUAGCCGACCUGAGAGGGUGAUCGGCCACACUGGGACUGAGACACGGCCCAGACUCCUACGGGAGGCAGCAGUAGGGAAUCUUCCGCAAUGGACGAAAGUCUGACGGAGCAACGCCGCGUGAGUGAUGAAGGUUUUCGGAUCGUAAAGCUCUGUUGUUAGGGAAGAACAAGUACCGUUCGAAUAGGGCGGUACCUUGACGGUACCUAACCAGAAAGCCACGGCUAACUACGUGCCAGCAGCCGCGGUAAUACGUAGGUGGCAAGCGUUGUCCGGAAUUAUUGGGCGUAAAGGGCUCGCAGGCGGUUUCUUAAGUCUGAUGUGAAAGCCCCCGGCUCAACCGGGGAGGGUCAUUGGAAACUGGGGAACUUGAGUGCAGAAGAGGAGAGUGGAAUUCCACGUGUAGCGGUGAAAUGCGUAGAGAUGUGGAGGAACACCAGUGGCGAAGGCGACUCUCUGGUCUGUAACUGACGCUGAGGAGCGAAAGCGUGGGGAGCGAACAGGAUUAGAUACCCUGGUAGUCCACGCCGUAAACGAUGAGUGCUAAGUGUUAGGGGGUUUCCGCCCCUUAGUGCUGCAGCUAACGCAUUAAGCACUCCGCCUGCGAGUACGGUCGCAAGACUGAAACUCAAAGGAAUUGACGGGGGCCCGCACAAGCGGUGAGCAUGUGGUUUAUUUCGAAGCAACGCGAAGAACCUUACCAGGUCUUGACAUCCUCUGACAUCCUAGAGAUAGGACGUCCCCUUCGGGGGCAGAGUGACAG
rnacentral:rRNA from 1 species